UACGUAGGGUGCGAGCGUUAUUCGGAAUUACUGGGCGUAAAGAGUGCGCAGGCGGCAGGGCAAGUCGGGUGUGAAAGCCCCGGGCUUAACUUGGGAAUUGCGCUCGAAACUACUUUGCUGGAGUGUGGCAGAGGAGGGUGGAAUUCCACGUGUAGCGGUGAAAUGCGUAGAUAUCACUAGGAACGCCGGUGGCGAAAGCGACACGCUGGACCUCUACUGACGCUGAGGCGCGAAAGCCAGGGGAGCAAACGGG
rnacentral:rRNA from 1 species